GAUGAAGAACGUAGCGAAAUGCGAUAAGGAGUGUGAAUUGCAGAAUUCAGUGAAUCAUCGAAUCUUUGAACGCACAUUGCGCCUCCUGGUAUUCCGGGAGGCAUGCCUGUUCGAGCGUCAUUAAAAUCACUCAAGCUUAGGUUUACCUAUUGCUUGGUCUUGGAGAUGGAAGCCAAUUUAUUGGAAUCGUCUUCGAAAUUCAAUGGCGAAGACCCUUGCUCUCCCAAGUGUAGUAAUAACUUAUGUCACUGAAGGAAGCGAGAAAUCUUCUGCCGUAACCCCCAUAUUUUCUAUGAUUGACCUCGGAUCAGGUAGGGAUACCCGCUGAACUUAAGCAUAUCAAUAAGCGGAGGA
rnacentral:misc_RNA from 1 species